AACGUAGGACGCAAGCGUUAUCCGGAGUUACUGGGCGUAAAGCGCGAGCAGGCGGCUCGACAAGUUCGCUGUGAAAGCUCCCGGCUCAACCGGGCGAGGCCAGUGGAAACUAUCGAGCUGGAGGGCAGUAGAGGCAGGCGGAAUUCCGGGUGGAGUGGUGAAAUGCGUAGAGAUCCGGAGGAACACCAGAGGCGAAGGCGGCCUGCUGGGCUGCACCUGACGCUGAGCCGCGGAAAGCCCAGGGGGAGCGAACGGG
rnacentral:rRNA from 1 species